CGUCAAUGUGGCAGAAUUCGCUGCAUAGAAUCUUAAUGUUAACUAUGAAAUUUUAGGUUUUUGGAUAAUACAGACUACACUUGUGUAUCCCACGGUGUUUUCUAAAUUUAAAGCACCAGUGUAUCCCACGGUGCAUCUUUACAUUUUCAUAUAUAUCUAUCUUCACAUCUAUCUAUCUACCUGGUUGCCAUAUUAUCUUCGGGUAACCGACCAUAGAUCUAUCUACAUAUACAUGGUCUAUGGUCUAUCUAUCUAUAUAUAUAUAUUAUAUAUUGUAUGAAUCUAUCAUAUUAUGAAUAAAAGCUGUGGCCAGAUAUCGCCAAACCAUAUAUGUAUUUUGUUUUAAUGGCACCAUCUGAGAUAAUGGAAUUUAAGUUAAUAGACUUAAAUUCAGUUAUCGCCGGGGCCACUCACGGAUUGUGUUUCAUGUUUUAGAUUUACCCAACAUGUGUGACGAUAUAUUCUGUGACGUCAUUUAGUCCUUUUUAGAAUUUCAUCGCAGCAAGCAAGCUGUUUAAAUUUUGUAAGCGGUAAACUUGAAAACCCGCCCUCCCACUCCUUUUUAUUGAACAAGAUACUGCUCUUUUGUAUUUAUUUUUCAGGUUUGUGUCGGUGAUAGUGGUGAUACAGAUUUGACUGAUGAUGUUAACUCGUUUGCUGUUGAGAAAAGUGACUUUUAUUUGAACUUUGAGCAUCAUAAAUAUAUUCCCGUAAAUGGCAGAAUUCGCUGCAUAGAAUCUUAAUGUUAACUAUGAAAUUUUAGGUUUUUGGAUAAUACAGACUACACUUGUGUAUCCCACGGUGUUUUCUAAAUUUAAAGCACCAGUGUAUCCCACGGUGCAUCUUUACAUUUUCAUAUAUAUCUAUCUUCACAUCUAUCUAUCUACCUGGUUGCCAUAUUAUCUUCGGGUAACCGACCAUAGAUCUAUCUACAUAUACAUGGUCUAUGGUCUAUCUAUCUAUAUAUAUAUAUUAUAUAUUGUAUGAAUCUAUCAUAUUAUGAAUAAAAGCUGUGGCCAGAUAUCGCCAAACCAUAUAUGUAUUUUGUUUUAAUGGCAC
rnacentral:lncRNA from 1 species